AUUCCUCAACAGAGAGUGGGUGGCAGCCUCGUACCAUACCUUGCAUUGCUGGGAGGGUCAUACUGCAAAACCCAGUUGACUUCAGGAAUAUCAAUUCCCCGGGCCAUCACAUCAGUGCACACUAAAAUCCCACUAGGAAAUGAGAAAAAAGCAUUCUGAGUAAGGAGGCCACCAUCUUCAUCACCAUCAAACAGCCUACUGAUCUCGAUGACAGUGACACACAGGUGCUGGAGCUUCUCACAGAAGCAAAUGUUUAAGUGGAGACAUGACAGGGUGUAAUAGUGGUCAUCCAGAAUCCAUGAGGUGACACAUAGGAAGAGAAGACCAAUCACAUCAACAUUGACCUUGACAUGACUGACACAUGAAACCCAUGUGAGAAACUGCCUGCCUUUGGACGACUUUUUACGGGAGAAAAAUAAAGCCAACCUUGUUCGGACAACAAAAGUUGGGUUUUCAGUUAUUUGCAGCCAAAAGCAUUCCGGAGAGAACCAUGCUAGAUGGAAUCCAAAACCCAAAGGCCGCAUGCACCUGCACAUUCUGGCUGAAUCCCUGAUGCCUCUACCACAGAGACCAGAGGAGUACCUGAAGAAGACCAGGUGUUUCUCCUGCUUAUGAUUGCGAAGAAAAUGGACCAGCUGAUUAAAUUUCUCAUCUGCCUUGCAUACCUGCAAAAUAAAAAGGGAAACUAAUAAAAAACAUAUUUGGCAAUAAUAAUCCCCAUGGCUAUUUUCAGUUUCAGCAUUAAAUUUUAAGGAAUGUCAUUUCCCCCAUGGGUAGGACAGACUUUAGUCGGAAUGUUAACUGGUCUACCUAGCUCAGAAUAAAUAUCAAC
rnacentral:lncRNA from 10 species